rnacentral:rRNA from 1 species
GGCCGAAGGCUGAAGCAGCAACGCCGCGUGGAGGAUGAAAUACUUUUGUAUGUAAACUCCUGUAAGGGGGGAAAAAUACACAGUUUCUACUGUGUUGAUUGUACCCCCAGAGUAAGCACCGGCUAACUACGUGCCAGCAGCCGCGGUAAUACGUAGGGUGCUAGAGUUGUCCGGAUUUACUGGGUGUAAAGGGUGCUCAGGUGGGUUUGUAAGUCAGAGGUGAAAUCCCAAAGCUUAACUUUGGAGCUGCCUUUGAUACUGCAAGUCUGGAGUUUGGCAGAGGGA